UGCGGGAUAGAGCAGUCCGGUAGCUCGCCAGCCUCAUAAGCUGGAGGUCGAGGGUUCGAAUCCCUCUCCCGCAACCA
rnacentral:tRNA from 1 species